UACGUAGGGGGCAAGCGUUAUCCGGAUUUACUGGGUGUAAAGGGAGCGUAGACGGACGGGCAAGUCUGAAGUGAAAGGCAGGGGCUCAACCCCUGGACUGCUUUGGAAACUGUCCAUCUAGAGUGCCGGAGAGGUAAGCGGAAUUCCUAGUGUAGCGGUGAAAUGCGUAGAUAUUAGGAGGAACACCAGUGGCGAAGGCGGCUUACUGGACGGUAACUGAAGUUGAGGCUCGAAAGCGUGGGGAGCAAACAGG
rnacentral:rRNA from 1 species